GAUGAACGCUAGCGAUAGGCUUAACACAUGCAAGUCGAGGGGCAGCACAAGGUAGCUUGCUAUCUGGGUGGCGACCGGCGCACGGGUGCGUAACGCGUAUGCAACUUGCCCUAUACAGGAGGAUAACCCGUCGAAAGACGGACUAAUACUGCGUAUGCUCACAACUUGGCAUCAAGUGGUGAGGAAAGAAAUUCGGUAUAGGAUAGGCAUGCGUCCCAUUAGCUUGUUGGUGAGGUAACGGCUCACCAAGGCAACGAUGGGUAGGGGAACUGAGAGGUUUAUCCCCCACACUGGUACUGAGACACGGACCAGACUCCUACGGGAGGCAGCAGUGAGGAAGAUUGGUAAAUGGGCGCGAGCCUGAACCAGCCAAGUCGCGUGAAGGAUGACUGUCUUAUGGAUUGUAAACUUCUUUUAUACGGGAAUAACAAGAGUCACGUGUGACUCCCUGCAUGUACCGUAUGAAUAAGCAUCGGCUAACUCCGU
rnacentral:rRNA from 1 species